rnacentral:rRNA from 1 species
CCUACGGGUGGCUGCAGUGGGGAAUAUUGGACAAUGGGGGCAACCCUGAUCCAGCCAUGCCGCGUGUGUGAAGAAGGCCCUCGGGUUGUAAAGCACUUUCAGUGAGGAAGAACGCCUGGUGGUUAAUACCCAUCAGGAAAGACAUCACUCACAGAAGAAGCACCGGCUAACUCCGUGCCAGCAGCCGCGGUAAUACGGAGGGUGCGAGCGUUAAUCGGAAUUACUGGGCGUAAAGCGCGCGUAGGUGGCUUGAUAAGCCGGUUGUGAAAGCCCCGGGCUCAACCUGGGAACGGCAUCCGGAACUGUCAAGCUAGAGUGCAGGAGAGGAAGGUAGAAUUCCCGGUGUAGCGGUGAAAUGCGUAGAGAGCGGGAGGAAUACCAGUGGCGAAGGCGGCCUUCUGGACUGACACUGACACUGAGGUGCGAAAGCGUGGGUAGCAAACAGGAUUAGAUACCCGAGUAGUC